UACGUAGGGUGCAAGCGUUGUCCGGAAUUAUUGGGCGUAAAGAGCUCGUAGGCGGCUUGUCGCGUCGACUGUGAAAACCCGCGGCUCAACUGCGGGCUUGCAGUCGAUACGGGCAGGCUAGAGUUUGGUAGGGGAGACUGGAAUUCCUGGUGUAGCGGUGAAAUGCGCAGAUAUCAGGAGGAACACCGGUGGCGAAGGCGGCGACCUGGUCCGGGACUGACGCUGAGGCGCGAAAGCGUGGGGAGCAAACAGG
rnacentral:rRNA from 1 species